GCAGUCGCGGCCGAGAGACUGAGGCGAUGGACUAGAAAACCAUUGGGGUGUCCCCGCCCAGGUUCGACUCCUGCCGACUGCG
rnacentral:tRNA from 1 species